rnacentral:rRNA from 1 species
AACGAACGCUGGCGGCAUGCCUAACACAUGCAAGUCGAACGAGACCUUCGGGUCUAGUGGCGCACGGGUGCGUAACGCGUGGGAACCUGCCCUUAGGUUCGGAAUAACUCCCCGAAAGGGGUGCUAAUACCGGAUAAUGUCUUCGGACCAAAGAUUUAUCGCCUUUGGAUGGGCCCGCGUUGGAUUAGCUAGUUGGGAGGGUAAAAGCCUACCAAGGCGACGAUCCAUAGCUGGUCUGAGAGGAUGAUCAGCCACACUGGGACGGGGACACGGCCCAGACUCCUACGGGAGGCAGCAGUGGGGAAUAUUGGACAAUGGGCGAAAGCCUGAUCCAGCAAUGCCGCGUGAGUGAUGAAGGCCUUAGGGUUGUAAAGCUCUUUUACCCGGGAUGAUAAUGACAGUACCGGGAGAAUAAGCUCCGGCUAACUCCGUG